CUGUAUUUCAGAGAACCACGCAUAUUGAAGAAGUUGAAAAACAUUUGCUUCAUUACCAGAUGGUAGUCCGCCUGCCUUCAUUUAUCCACAGACUGAACACCACAGCUGAAGCAGACUCCAUUCUUCUGAAUGAUACAAAAUACAUAUUUGAAAACUACAGAGGAACGGAUACUUCAUUCCCUUUGUUUCUUCAGAAGACAAAAGAGAAAUGUGACUUCCAUAUUUCUGAAGCUCGACAAGAGAGAAAAACAUUUGUGCUCUCCUCAUGACCCAUUCAGCAAAGACACCACGCACUAUAGUACUGCACCCUAAAAAUACCAAGAAACCCAAGAUAAAUUCAAGAUAACCCAAGAUAAAAUAACUUUCCAUCCAUGAGUCAAGUGAUCACAGCUUCUGCACUGAGUGUAUUUGACAAGCUGAAUUCAGACACUCAAUUUAAAACAGUGUCAGUUUGUCAAAUACCCCAAGUGCAGAGCUGAAACACAGCUGAACAUUGUCCAGUGCUGGGCGAGGCUGACAAGCAUACAACUGGCGAGACUCCAAUAUCUGCAUAUGUAUGUGUACACGUGCUUACAAGACCCAGAGUGAAUUAAGUGCACUUUGUGAACUGAAUAGCUGUUGGAAUGGUUAUUAUUAAGAUGUUACAGAGCCUUUCUGUGCCCAACACAAAAUGUUUAUUUCAAAAUGGAUGUUACAUUCUCGUUAUAUUAAACUAAUGGGCAGCUUGUAAGAUAUCAUGACAUCACUAACCACAUUUUCGGCACUGGCUUUAGCUCAGUAGUUACUUCAAUUUCCUUGAAAUCUGUCUGGUCGCAUGUUCAUGUCCAGUUAACUACAGGCGCUGCCCAGCACUUCAUUCCUUCAGUAACUUUCUGGGGCACAUGGUGGCUCAGUGGUUAGCAUUGCUGCCUCACAGAACCAGUGAUCCGGGUUCAAUUCCCACCCCAGGCAACUG